CAGUGGCAGACGGGUGAGUAACGCGUAGGAAUCUACCCCUGGGUAUGGUAUAGCUGGCCGAAAGGUCGGGUAAUCCCAUAUAGUCUCGUAAGAGUAAAGGACUUAACGGUCCGCCGAGGGAGGAGCCUGCGUCCUAUCAGCUAGUUGGUGAGGUAAAGGCUCACCAAGGCGAUGACGGGUAGCUGGACUGAGAGGUCGAUCAGCCACAACUGCACUGAGACACGGGCAGUACACCUACGGGUGGCAGCAACCAGGAAUAUUGCGCAAUGGACGAAAGUCUGACGCAGCGACGCCGCGUGGAGGAAGACGGCCUUAGGGUUGUAAACUCCUUUUGCCAAGCCGUUCACAGCUUGGAGAAUAAGCCUCUACUAACUACGUGCCAGAAGUCUCGGUAAUACGUAGGAGGCGAGCGUUAUCCGGAUUUACUGGGCGUAAAGUGUGCGUAGGCGCCCCAUUAAGUCGUGCUUUAAAUACUAAGGCUUACCCUUAGAGCUGAGUACGAUACUGUUGGGGUUGAGGAUUGACAGGGAAGCUGGAACAGUGCGUGUAGCAGUGAAAUGCGUUGAUAUGCACUGGAACACCAAGGGCGAAGGCAGGCUUCUGGGUUUUUCC
rnacentral:rRNA from 1 species